rnacentral:rRNA from 1 species
AACGAACGCUAGCGGCAGGCCUAAUACAUGCAAGUCGAACGGGAUCUGAGGGUAGCUUGCUACCCGAUUUGAGAGUGGCGCACGGGUGCGUAACGCGUGAGCAACCUACCCAUAUCAGGGGGAUAGCCCGAAGAAAUUCGGAUUAACACCGCAUAUUAAUACGCUAACACAUGUUGAUGUAUUUAAAUAUUUAUAGGAUAUGGAUGGGCUCGCGUGACAUUAGCUAGUUGGUAAGGUAAAGGCUUACAAAGGCGACGAUGGCUAGGGGCUCUGGGAGGAGAAUCCCCCACACUGGUACUGAGACACGGACCAGACUCCUACGGGAGGCAGCAGUAAGGAAUAUUGGUCAAUGGGCGCAAGCCUGAACCAGCCAUGCCGCGUGCAGGAUGACUGCCCUAUGGGUUAUAAACUGCUUUUGUUAGGGAAUAAACCUUCUUACGUGUAAGGAGCUGAAUGUACCUAAAGAAUAAGGAUCGGCUAACUCCGUGCCAGCAGCCGCGGUAA